rnacentral:lncRNA from 1 species
GAACAUAGCUGCUCUUAUUUCUAUGACACUCUCCCAUUCCAUAUAUACUAAACACAACUAGCUACUAGCUGGUAACGCCUAGUUAGCUUGUCGUGGCGGCUUGUGGGGUGGUUCAUCAUGUGGAGGCUCAACGGGCGGUUGGUCAGGAGGCUGGUGGGGUGGUUCAUCAUGUGGAGGCUCAACGGGCGGUUGGUCAGGAGGCUGGUGGGGUGGUUCAUCAUGUGGAGGCCCAACGGGCGGUUGGUCAGGCGGCUGGUGGGGUGGUUCAUCAUGUGGAGGCCCAACGGGCGGUUGGUCAGGCGGCUGGUGGGGUGGUUCAUCAUGUGGAGGCUCAACGGGCGGUUGGUCAGGAGGCUGGUGGGGUGGUUCAUCAUGUGGAGGCCCAACGGGCGGUUGGUCAGGCGGCUGGUGGGGUGGUUCAUCAUGUGGAGGCCCAACGGGCGGUUGGUCAGGCGGCUGGUGGGGUGGUUCAUCAUGUGGAGGCCCAACGGGCGGUUGGUCAGGCGGCCCAAGUGGAGGCUCAUGAGGU